ACGAACGCUGGCGGCGUGCCUAAUACAUGCAAGUCGAACGGUCUUUCUAUGGAAGCUUGCUUCCACUGAGAAGAUAGUGGCGAACGGGUGAGUAACACGUGGGUAACCUGCCCAUAAGAGGGGGAUAACAUCCGGAAACGGGUGCUAAUACCGCAUAGUUUUCUUGAUCGCAUGAUUGAGAAAGGAAAGACGGCCUUUGUGCUGUCGCUUAUGGAUGGACCCGCGGCGUAUUAGUUAGUUGGUGAGGUAACGGCUCACCAAGACGAUGAUACGUAGCCGACCUGAGAGGGUGAUCGGCCACAUUGGGACUGAGACACGGCCCAAACUCCUACGGGAGGCAGCAGUAGGGAAUCUUCCGCAAUGGACGAAAGUCUGACGGAGCAACGCCGCGUGAGUGAAGAAGGUUUUCGGGAAUCGUAAAACUCUGUUGUCAGAGAAGAACAAGUUGGAGAGUAACUGCUCCAGCCUUGACGGUAUCUGACCAGAAAGCCACGGCUAACUACGUGCCAGCAGCAGC
rnacentral:rRNA from 1 species